rnacentral:sRNA from 1 species
UUGCCCUUCCAUGUAUCUGACCUUAUAGGUAAGUGCCUCAAGUUUGAUAUUCAGAUCGUUGAAAGUACAAUCAACCUUGUUGUGGAUUUCGGCCAUCUUUUGGCGAGAUCCAUUGCUCCUGCAGCUUGCCCUUGGAGAAUCUGCUGUAACAUGUUCUUCAAGUCUGAAUCUGGA